UUUCCCUUUACAAAUGCAGAAUUGGCUAGUCAUGCGGUACUGAAACCAGUUAAAGGUCGCUAGCACAUACUGCAGCCCGUGUCUGGUCAGCAUGACAACACACAGAAGAAUUGAAGAUGAGCCAGCAGGGGAGGCUGUACUGAAGUCUUAAAAAGAAGAAAAGUUUCAACGGAGUUAACUGGAAACUCUGAUUUUUAAAAGAGGACACUUAUAAACAGAAAUGAAGCACUGCUGGUCCCAGAGAGAUUAUUCACAUCAGCUGUUUCUAAUUACGGGUUGAGCUGGUAACGGACGGAUGAUGACGCCAUCUUGUGGGCGCCAGUCUUCCAGUUCCGGACGCCACUGACACACUUGCGGAGAGGGAUAUACGCCAGGGCAUCCACCAGCAGUCAGUAUGUUUCUGCCAAACCAAAUGCACAAUGAAUGAUGGGAAAUUAACCACUGGCUUCUAGACAAAGAUGUACAGUACCCUCUGUUGGAUCAGAAGACAAGCAUGAGGGAUGCACUUUGUAAAUCCCAACUUGAAGAUCUGGCGCUGAAGACAUCUCUCCAAGAAAUAUUCAAUGUUUAAACCCAAAAAUCAAUUAAGCUUUAUCUUACCUUCAUCCAACACAAUAGAACACAAAUGCAGGGCACUGGCUUCAUACAGUUAGGAUCUUUCACAUCCAGACUAAGCAGAUCUCUGGCAAGAGUGAACUUAACCCUCUAUAAUUCAACAUUUGCCACAUAGGCCAUACUGUAUUCAUUAGUGUGUUUUAAUGCUUGGUUUAACCACAACCUCUGAAAUGGAUAGUGCAUAGUAACAGAGAUCUUCUGAAACACCUACCUUCUGGCAGUGCACAUUCUGGCCUAUAAGAACAUUAAGUUAUAAAUGCAUACUGUUCAUGUAUACAUUAUUAUUCAUGCUCUGUGAAUGACAAUUUUUCCUUAAUUCCUUAUUGAACAAAGAAACAUUAAUCCUUGAUUAUCAACAUAAUUUUAAAUAACGGAGAUGCAUUUGUUGUAUCAAAGACUACAGGUUUAUUUUUUAUGUACAGUAUAUAGAGAAUUAGAAAUCUUAAGGGAUGAGUUAAAAAAAAAUAUGUGACACUAUGAUCCAAAUAAAUCAAAUAAUGUUUUAAAACCA